rnacentral:rRNA from 1 species
ACUCCUACGGGAGGCAGCAGUGGGAAUAUUGCACAAUGGGGGAAAGCCCUGAUGCAGCCAUGCCGCGUGUGUGAAGAAGGCCUUCGGGUUGUAAGNACUUUCAGUGGGGAGGAAAGGUUGAUGGUUAAUACCUAUCAGCUGUGACGUUACCCACAGAAGAAGCACCGGCUAACUCCGUGCCAGCAGCCGCGGUAAUACGGAGGGUGCAAGCGUUAAUCGGAAUUACUGGGCGUAAAGCGUGCGCAGGCGGUCUGUUAAGCGAGAUGUGAAAGCCCGGC